AUUUACUGAACAUCUUUAUGUCUCUGCAAUGCACAGCUGUUGCAGAACAACAAAUUUCAUGUCAAGUAAAUCAGUGACAAGUAAGUUGCUGGUCUGCCGGUGAGAAAUACCUAUGUACUGAAGGGAAACUGCCAUGGAUUCGGCAAAGAUGAAAGGCAGCUAUGUAGCACACAAGCAAGACAAGAGAGAGUGGACAACCUUGCCUAACUCCAGAAUUGAUGGGGAUACUAUCCACCUCCCACUCAUUGUCUUGGACAGCACUUGUCACUGAUUCAUUAAGGCUGUGGAUCACAGAGCUCCCCCUAUGGAUCUUUGGGAAGAAGCAUGAGCACGUCUCAUCCUACUCCACAAAGCGGACUCUGGAUCUGAAGCCAAUGUUAGAGGAUCCCGAGCAAAGAGUGCAGCUUUCCGUGUCUUCACAUCUCAGAGCUCCUUCAC